UACAGAGGGUGCGAGCGUUAAUCGGAAUUACUGGGCGUAAAGCGCACGUAGGCGGCUUGGUAUGUCGGGUGUGAAAUCCCCGGGCUCAACCUGGGAACUGCAUCCGAAACUGCCUUGCUAGAGUAUGGGAGAGGGAAGUGGAAUUUCCGGUGUAGCGGUGAAGUGCGUAGAUAUCGGAAGGAACAUCAGUGGCGAAGGCGACUUCCUGGACCAAUACUGACGCUCAGGUGCGAAAGCGUGGGGAGCAAACAGG
rnacentral:rRNA from 1 species